rnacentral:rRNA from 1 species
UACGUAGGGUGCGAGCGUUGUCCGGAAUUAUUGGGCGUAAAGAGCUCGUAGGCGGUUUGUCGCGUCGGCCGUGAAAACUUGGGGCUUAACCCCGAGCCUGCGGUCGAUACGGGCAGACUUGAGUUCGGCAGGGGAGACGUAGUGAAUUCCUGGUGUAGGCGGUGAAAUGCGCAGAUAUCAGGAGGAACACCGGUGGCGAAGGCGGUUCUCUGGGCAUGUCCUGACGCUGAGGAGCGAAAGUGUGGGGAGCGAACAGG